rnacentral:rRNA from 1 species
CACGGACCGCACGAACGUUAUUCGGUAUCACUGGGCUUAAAGCGUGCGUAGGCGGUCUUGUUAGUCAGGUGUGAAAGCCCUCAGCCUAACUGAGGAAUUGCGCUUGAUACUGCAUGACUAGAGAAUGAUAGAGGUGGGUGGAACUGAUGGUGGAGCGGUGAAAUGCGUUGAUAUCAUCAGGAACACCAGUGGCGAAGGCGACCCACUGGGUCAUUUCUGACGCUGAGGUACGAAAGCUAGGGUAGCGAACGGG